CUGGUACAAUGCGAAGCGAAGCAGUGAUGUGAAGCAAAUCGCACCAAAGCCAGUCCCAGUUCGGAUAAGAGGCUGAAACUCGCCUCUUUGAAGUCGGAAUCGCUAGUAAUCGCAGAUUAGCAUGUUGCGGUGAAUACGUUCCCGGGUCUUGUACACACCGCCCGUCAAACCAUGAGAGUCACCAACACCCGAAGUCCGCCUUGGCGGCCUAAGGUGGGGGAGAUGAUUGGGGUUAAGUCGUAACAAGGUACC
rnacentral:rRNA from 1 species